GAUUAAGUUAUUAAGGGCGCACGGUGGAUGCCUUGGCACUAGAAGCCGAUGAAGGACGUUACUAACGACGAUAUGCUUUGGGUAGCUGUAAGUAAGCGUUGAUCCAGAGAUUUCCGAAUGGGGGAACCCAGCAUGAGUUAUGUCAUGUUAUCGACAUGUGAAUUCAUAGCAUGUCAGAAGGCAGACCCGGAGAACUGAAACAUCUUAGUACCCGGAGGAAGAGAAAGAAAAAUCGAUUCCCUGAGUAGCGGCGAGCGAAACGGGAAUAGCCCAAACCAACAAGCUUGCUUGUUGGGGUUGUAGGACACUCUAUACGGAGUUACAAAAGAACAUGUUAGACGAAUCAUCUGGAAAGAUGAAUCAAAGAAGGUAAUAAUCCUGUAGUCGAAAACAUAUUCUCUCUUGAGUGGAUCCUGAGUACGACGGAGCACGUGAAAUUCCGUCGGAAUCUGGGAGGACCAUCUCCUAAGGCUAAAUACUCUCUAGUGACCGAUAGUGAACCAGUACCGUGAGGGAAAGGUGAAAAGUACCCCGGAAGGGGAGUGAAAGAGAACUUGAAACCGUGUGCUUACAAGUAGUCAGAGCCCGUUAAUGGGUGAUGGCGUGCCUUUUGUAGAAUGAACCGGCGAGUUACGAUCUGAUGCAAGGUUAAGCAGCAAAUGUGGAGCCGCAGCGAAAGCGAGUCUGAAUAGGGCGUUGAGUAUUUGGUCGUAGACCCGAAACCAGGUGAUCUACCCUUGGUCAGGUUGAAGUUCAGGUAACACUGAAUGGAGGACCGAACCGACUUACGUUGAAAAGUGAGCGGAUGAACUGAGGGUAGCGGAGAAAUUCCAAUCGAACUUGGAGAUAGCUGGUUCUCUCCGAAAUAGCUUUAGGGCUAGCCUCAAGUGAUGAUUAUUGGAGGUAGAGCACUGUUUGGACGAGGGGCCCCUCUCGGGUUACCGAAUUCAGACAAACUCCGAAUGCCAAUUAAUUUAACUUGGGAGUCAGAACAUGGGUGAUAAGGUCCGUGUUCGAAAGGGAAACAGCCCAGACCACCAGCUAAGGUCCCAAAAUAUAUGUUAAGUGGAAAAGGAUGUGGCGUUGCCCAGACAACUAGGAUGUUGGCUUAGAAGCAGCCAUCAUUUAAAGAGUGCGUAAUAGCUCACUAGUCGAGUGACACUGCGCCGAAAAUGUACCGGGGCUAAACAUAUUACCGAAGCUGUGGAUUGUCCUUUGGACAAUGGUAGGAGAGCGUUCUAAGGGCGUCGAAGCAUGAUCGCAAGGACAUGUGGAGCGCUUAGAAGUGAGAAUGCCGGUGUGAGUAGCGAAAGACGGGUGAGAAUCCCGUCCACCGAUUGACUAAGGUUUCCAGAGGAAGGCUCGUCCGCUCUGGGUUAGUCGGGUCCUAAGCUGAGGCCGACAGGCGUAGGCGAUGGAUAACAGGUUGAUAUUCCUGUACCACCUAGUAUCGUUUUAAUCGAUGGGGGGACGCAGUAGGAUAGGCGAAGCGUGCUGUUGGAGUGCACGUCCAAGCAGUAAGGCUGAGUGUUAGGCAAAUCCGGCACUCAUAAGGCUGAGCUGUGAUGGGGAGAGGAAAUUGUUUCCUCGAGUCGUUGAUUUCACACUGCCGAGAAAAGCCUCUAGAUAGAUAACAGGUGCCCGUACCGCAAACCGACACAGGUAGUCAAGAUGAGAAUUCUAAGGUGAGCGAGCGAACUCUCGUUAAGGAACUCGGCAAAAUGACCCCGUAACUUCGGGAGAAGGGGUGCUCUUUAGGGUUCACGCCCAGAAGAGCCGCAGUGAAUAGGCCCAAGCGACUGUUUAUCAAAAACACAGGUCUCUGCUAAACCGUAAGGUGAUGUAUAGGGGCUGACGCCUGCCCGGUGCUGGAAGGUUAAGAGGAGUGGUUAGCUUCUGCGAAGCUACGAAUCGAAGCCCCAGUAAACGGCGGCCGUAACUAUAACGGUCCUAAGGUAGCGAAAUUCCUUGUCGGGUAAGUUCCGACCCGCACGAAAGGCGUAACGAUUUGGGCACUGUCUCAACGAGAGACUCGGUGAAAUCAUAGUACCUGUGAAGAUGCAGGUUACCCGCGACAGGACGGAAAGACCCCGUGGAGCUUUACUGUAGCCUGAUAUUGAAAUUCGGCACAGCUUGUACAGGAUAGGUAGGAGCCUUUGAAACGUGAGCGCUAGCUUACGUGGAGGCGUUGGUGGGAUACUACCCUAGCUGUGUUGGCUUUCUAACCCGCACCACUUAUCGUGGUGGGAGACAGUGUCAGGCGGGCAGUUUGACUGGGGCGGUCGCCUCCUAAAAGGUAACGGAGGCGCUCAAAGGUUCCCUCAGAAUGGUUGGAAAUCAUUCAUAGAGUGUAAAGGCAUAAGGGAGCUUGACUGCGAGACCUACAAGUCGAGCAGGGUCGAAAGACGGACUUAGUGAUCCGGUGGUUCCGCAUGGAAGGGCCAUCGCUCAACGGAUAAAAGCUACCCCGGGGAUAACAGGCUUAUCUCCCCCAAGAGUUCACAUCGACGGGGAGGUUUGGCACCUCGAUGUCGGCUCAUCGCAUCCUGGGGCUGUAGUCGGUCCCAAGGGUUGGGCUGUUCGCCCAUUAAAGCGGUACGCGAGCUGGGUUCAGAACGUCGUGAGACAGUUCGGUCCCUAUCCGUCGUGGGCGUAGGAAAUUUGAGAGGAGCUGUCCUUAGUACGAGAGGACCGGGAUGGACAUACCUCUGGUGUACCAGUUGUCGUGCCAACGGCAUAGCUGGGUAGCUAUGUAUGGACGGGAUAAGUGCUGAAAGCAUCUAAGCAUGAAGCCCCCCUCAAGAUGAGAUUUCCCAACUUCGGUUAUAAGAUCCCUCGAAGAUGACGAGGUUAAUAGGUUCGAGGUGGAAGCGUGGUGACACGUGGAGCUGACGAAUACUAAUCGAUCGAAGACUUAAUCAAUUUUUAAAA
rnacentral:rRNA from 1 species